rnacentral:rRNA from 1 species
UACGAAGGGGGCUAGCGUUGUUCGGAAUUACUGGGCGUAAAGCGCACGUAGGCGGAUACUUAAGUUAGGGGUGAAAUCCCAGGGCUCAACCCUGGAACUGCCUUUAAUACUGCUAAUCUAGAGUUCGAGAGAGGUGAGUGGAAUUCCGAGUGUAGAGGUGAAAUUCGUAGAUAUUCGGAGGAACACCAGUGGCGAAGGCGGCUCACUGGCUCGACACUGACGCUGAGGUGCGAAAGCGUGGGGAGCAAACAGG